CACGAUAUAGCUCAGUUUGGUAGAGCAACAGACUAAUAACCUGUGGGCGCCGGUUCGAAUCCGGCUUUCGUUG
rnacentral:tRNA from 2 species